AGAACGAACGCUGGCGGCAUGCCUAAUACAUGCAAGUCGAACGAACUCUUCGGAGUUAGUGGCGCACGGGUGCGUAACGCGUGGGAAUCUGCCCCUUGGUUCGGAAUAACAGUUGGAAACGACUGCUAAUACCGGAUGAUGACGAAAGUCCAAAGAUUUAUCGCCAAGGGAUGAGCCCGCGUAGGAUUAGCUAGUUGGUGAGGUAAAGGCUCACCAAGGCAACGAUCCUUAGCUGGUCUGAGAGGAUGAUCAGCCACACGUGGACUGAGACGCGGCCCAGACUCCGUACGGGAGCAGCAGUAGGGAAUAGUGGACAAGUGGGCGACAAGCCGUGAUCCAGCAAUGCCGCGUGAGUGAUGAAGGUCCGUUAGGGUUGUAAAGCGUUACUUUACCGGAGACCGUAGUAA
rnacentral:rRNA from 1 species